UACGAAGGGGGGCUAGCGUUGCUCGGAUUGACUGGGCGUAAAGGGCGCGUAGGCGGUUCGUACAGUCAGACGUGAAAUUCCUGGGCUCAACCUGGGGGGCUGCGUUUUGAUACGUGCGGACUUGAGUGCGGAAGAGGGUCGUGGAAUUCCCCAGUGUAGAGGUGAAAAUUCGUAGAUAUCGUAAGGAAGACCAGUGGCGAAGGCGGGUCUCUGGACAGUUCCUGACGCUGAGGCACGAAGGUCAGGGGGAGCAAAACGGGGAUUAGAAAACCCC
rnacentral:rRNA from 1 species